UAUCUGUGCUUUCCAAUGGUC
rnacentral:piRNA from 1 species